rnacentral:rRNA from 1 species
AUGAGUGAAGAAACAACUAGAGAUAUUCUUGCUUGCAAUGAUAGAGAUGAUCUAGAGAAAUUAUUACACAAGUAUAAAGAAAAAUCUCCGAAUGCUAGAAUGAAAUGUGAUCCUAAGUUUGCUACUUCACCUAUCUUUAUUAAAGAUAAGGAUUAUGAAUUCUCUGUCUACCCAGAGUUAAUUAUUUUGGUUGAAUCUGAUCCUUUCCAUGGUUAUGAAACUGAAACUGUUGUGGCACAUCUUACUAAGUUGAAUGACAUAGCCACCCUUUUUACUCAUGAUGAGAAAACUCGCUACUACUUUAUUCUCAAAUUAUAUCCUUUCUCAUUAAAGGGUGAUGCUAAAUCUUGGUACAAUAGUCUUUCUCCUAGUUGUGUGCGUAGUCCCCAAGAUAUGAUUUACUACUUAUGUGAAAAAUAUUUUCCUUCUCAUAGGAAACAAGCUGCCUUACAUGAAAUAUUUAACUUUGCUCAAACUAAAGAAGAGAGUCUCCCACAAGCUUGGGGGAUGCUUUGCCAGUUACUUAAUGCUUUUCCUGAUCAUCCUCUUGGAAAAAUGAAAUACUUGAUAUCUUCUAUAAUGGACUAA